rnacentral:rRNA from 1 species
GACGAACGCUGGCGGCGUGCCUAAUACAUGCAAGUAGAACGCUGAAGCGAGGAGCUUGCUCUUCUUGGAUGAGUUGCGAACGGGUGAGUAACGCGUAGGUAACCUGCCUUGUAGCGGGGGAUAACUAUUGGAAACGAUAGCUAAUACCGCAUAACAAUGGAUGACCCAUGUCAUUUAUUUGAAAGGGGCAAAUGCUCCACUACAAGAUGGACCUGCGUUGUAUUAGCUAGUAGGUGAGGUAACGGCUCACCUAGGCGACGAUACAUAGCCGACCUGAGAGGGUGAUCGGCCACACUGGGACUGAGACACGGCCCAGACGCCUACGGGAGGCAGCAGUAGGGAAUCUUCGGCAAUGGGGGCAACCCUGACUGAGCAACGCCGCGUGAGUGAAGAAGGUUUUCGGAUCGUAAAGCUCUGUUGUAAGUCAAGAACGAGUGUGAGAGUGGAAAGUUCACACUGUGACGGUAGCUUACCAGAAAGGGACGGCUAACUACGUG